AAGACGCCGCCAAGCCACGACCGACUCGAUUUCGGUGGAUAUACAUAUAUGUGAAAUGCGACAAAGUGACAUGCAAAAUUCUGUCAAAUUAAAGUCAGUCAUUCGGGGCAAUAACUCUGAAGCCCCAAAUCCCCCAAGUAUCAUUAGCAUAACUGUCAAAGCCCGUACAGGGACAGAGGCACAUCAAAGACACAUCUCCCCUGUCUAGAUGGGCCCCCGACACGCAUCGCCGACAAGCAGACAAAUACUGUCUGGAGAAAGGGAAAAGGGAAACGACCAACACACACACACUCAAUCAACUAACUGAAAACCGAUUCCCAGUUCCAUUCGUGCGAGUACUUACUUCCUGACUUUGAUAGCCGCCGCCGAGUGGCGAAAAUGAGGAACAUCCUGACUGACGGCUGCAGUCGGUGACUCUGAAUCUGCCUCUGACUCAGACUCCCGUGCAAGUGCCACCAAAGAAGCGUGGAAAAUUCAAAAGUAAUUACAUAACUACAACUACCACUCGUACAAUGCAACACAAUCAAAACACACUUGCAACGCCCUCGCCUCUCCGAAAUCUCGCCUAAAACAACAAAUAAAGCAAUCAAAGCGGAGGAACCUGAAGAUCCCGAGAGCGACACAUGUUCUGUUCCCACACAAAAACGGAAACCUUUCUCCAUCAGCAUUACGUCAGAGGGACAGGGACCUGAAAGAACAACAAAUUGUUGGAUAUUUAUAAACGUCAAAAUAGGCAAAAGUCAAGAUCCCUCGAGAUAUUUUAUGGCCACAAGAAAUGAACACUUUCCUACAUAGAUAUGGAGCUCCUUGACCAGUGCCAGGGCCAGGUCCAAGUCCAGGCCCAGGUCAAUCGAUGGACUGGGACUGGGCACUUGUCAAAGGCGUGUGAAUGGAAACGUCAAACAGGAUAGUCGCUGAGGAGGAGGAGGAGGUCGAGGCAGCGAAGAGAAUCAAAGGGAUUCACAAUCGGAAUCCACAAGGGCGAAUGGGAACGGGAAUCGUAAAAACGCCGACGAUUUCACACUCACCUCUUUGGGGCGUAAUAAAAAUUAAACGGUAGCUAGUUAGGAGGCAUUCUUAGAUCUUCGAUCUGCUAUGCCAUCGCAUGGUAUUGUUUGCAUUGAUUUCCAGCGGUGGCGGUUGUUUCUGUUUUAUGUACAAUAUUUUCAUUAAGAAACGGAAUUUUCGUGGAAAUAUAAAGGCGACUACGGCGACGGCGCUUUUGAAGACCCUGUGACCUGUGAGCAGCUCACUUCCCAGAAAGGGGAUUCAGAUGGGGUCUGGGGAAUCGUCAUAGAAUAGGAGGAAUAGGGUCUGCUAAUUAAAGCACACAAAAAUCUUAAUUUGUGAAUUUGUUCCGGUACAGCCGUUGAUGGGAAUCAAUCGCAAUGCCACACACGUGCACACAGAGAGGGGCACAGAGGCCUGCCACAUCAUGAUCGAAUGGUCUCAUUCAAGCACAGAUUAUCGAUAAGCAGCGCUGCCCCAUUGAUUGAUCGCCCUCCGUUUCGCAUCUGUUUGGCAAGAUCAUGUCCGAUGCGGGGCGAGCAAAUAAAUAACCAACUAAUCAUCAAAAAUUAAUCGCAAAAGCCAAAAGUUGGCUGUAAAUUAAAAUGUUUACGCAGAUAAAUUAUUGCGUUGAUGGCAAUGAAUAUUCAUGGAACAUCUGUCGAGAGCGGAAUUUUAAAUUAAAUUAAAAUAAAUUAAGCCAAGAUAUAUCCACUCCUUAUACUCUUAUAUCUCACUAAUCAAAUUAAUUAAUUGUUUACUUUAGAAGAUACAGAUGCCGACAGCAAACGGGCCUUAAUAAAUUCAAAAUAACGAUCAAAAUUAGUGGCAACAGACCAAUGGCUGACCACAUGGCACUAAUCACAGUUUAUUAGCUGAAUAAAAUAUCAACAUAUAUGUAUAUAUACAUUAAAUUUGGCUCUGACGUUAUUGUUGCUGCCAUGACAACAGAUAAAUUGCAAUGAUAUAUCGCAAAUAAGUCAUCAACUAUUCGCUGGAUGCGAAAGAUAAGACAAUUUUGGGGAGGCUACGGGAGGCAGUGAAGAGAAG